rnacentral:rRNA from 1 species
UUUUGGACAAUGGGGGAAACCCUGAUCCAUCCAUUCCGCGUGUAUGAUGAAGGCUUUAGGUUUGUAAAGUACUUUUGGCAGAGAAGAAAAGGGACCUCCUCAUACGAGGUACUGCUGACGGUAUCUGCCGCUUAAGCCCCGGCUAACUACAUGCCAGUAGCCGCGGUAAUACGUAGGGUUCACGCGUUAAUCGGAAUUACUGGGCGUAAAGCGUGUGUAGGCGGUUCGGAAAGAAAGAUGUGAAAUCCCAGGGCUCAACCUUGGAACAGCAUUUUUAACUGCCGAGCUAGAGUAUGUCAGAGGGGGGUAGAAUUCCACGUGUAGCAGUGAAAUGCGUAGAUAUGUGGAGGAAUACCGAUGGCGAAGGCAGCCCCCUGGGAUAAUACUGACGCUCAGACACGAAAGCGUGGGGAGCAAACA